CCCUUAGACGUUCUGGGCCGCACGCGCGCUACACUGACCAGUGCAACAAGCAUCCGUCCGUGGCCGACAGGCCCGGGCAAUCUUUGAACGCUGGUCGUGAUGGGGAUAGACUUUUGCAAUUUUUGGUCUUCAACGAGGAAUUCCUAGUAAACGCAAGUCAUCAACUUGCAUUGAUUACGUCCCUGCCCUUUGUACACACCGCCCGUCGCACCUACCGAUUGAAUGGUCCGGUGAAGCCUCCGGAUUGGCGCGCACCUCGGUGCCGCCGAGAAGUUGGCUAAACCUUACCAUUUAGAGGAAGGUGAAGUCGUAACA
rnacentral:rRNA from 1 species